AGAGAGAGAGAGAGAGAGAGAGAGAGAGAGGAAAAGAGAGAGAGAGAGACGCAGACAGCACAUGAAAGGAAAGAUGCAGAGUGAUAGAGCGUGUGAAAGAAUAAUCACAGGAGAGACGUUGCUACCGCGAACGUACUUUACAGGAAGAAGAAACUAAAGGAAAUAACAAAAUGUAGAGGCGUGGACAUUGAGAGAGAAGUGUGGUAAGUGUAAGUGGCAGACAUGUGGCUGAACGAACUUGAGGCCAUUGCGUGCACAAUGUGUUCUUCACCUGACUGGGCGGGUGUCCUCGUGUGCAAAGGCUGACCUAAGUUCCCAAUUGCUGGUGUUGGGAAUUCAAGUCAAGCCUGUGGUGGUGUGGGCUUUAACGCAGUGAAAGGACAAACUCAAACAAAUGCACAACACACCAACUAGCACACAAACAUGGGAAAAUACUUCCUUUCAUGUUUAUGCACUCAUUAUCACAUGCACCAUCAAUGCAGCAUAAUCGCACAGUGGUCUAUACUAUAUGUAUACGCUUGGUUCUGUGACGCACUCUCUUCGACGCACACAAAGCUCCAAUCGGUUCGAAUUGACCGCGCUAAGUUAGGCGGAAAUGUGGUGCCCUGUUUCCGCUUCUGUGGAGGGAUCUUAUUUGGUGGUGCUGGACAGAAGCGGAACCGGGGUUCAGAUCGUUGUCAAAUCUCUCUUGCUCUUUUCCUCCUUGUACUCGUUAAUAAAAGAGAAGGGUCCCAGUGCAGUGGUAGGUAAUAAACACGUGAAAAAUGCGGUUGGUGCCCAGUCAGGUGAAGACAGCUUACGUGCUUCGCAUCUCAAAGGGGGCGCAUGUCUGCUACUUACAAUAAAAAAAGAAAGGUUUAGAGGAAAAGAGAGAGAUUUCACAACUAAUUUGGUGUUGUCUUUUUUUAUGUUCAAAGUGCGUCACAGUCACAAAGCAGUUUUCAGGCCGCCAUACUCGGUAUGCUUAUGUACACUUUCGAGAGCUGCAGGUCUGAAGUAGCGAACGAGAGCUAAGCGGAGCGGCCCCCGUGCAGAACGGGUUCAACGAUAAACACUACGCAGACCCGCCGGCAGGGUGUGAGAAAAAGAGAGAGCGAGAGAAACGGGGAACAUUCACACCGACAUACACACCACAACUCUAGAAAACAAAGGCGAGGCAGCAUGCUACAGCCGCAGCGGCACACCAACAGGCAAACAACCAACCAACCAACAAACAACAGGAAGAAGAAAAAAAAAAGAUUGUGACUCACAAACAUUUAAAUGCAGAUGUUUAUUAUGCUCGUGGGAGAAACAUUUACAAGAUGAGUAAUCGAGCUAACAUUUUUUGGGCCUUGCAGUUUAGUGGGAGAAAAUUUAAGCGGGCACUGGUAAUCUUCGGGCUGAGAAAACAUCGGUAAAGUGAGAACCCUCUGGCUUAAAACAAAAUGAACAGAAUUAAGUACUGUCCCGAGCACGUUGCGUUCACCAGUCGUGCCGCCCCGCCGCCUAAUAAACGUCUGUACGGAGGGUGCCCGAAGGGAGACUGAAACACGCGCAACGGAAGAGAGGAUGCUCCUAGUAGUCUGCGCUCGAUGCCUGCUGCUGCCAGUCAGCAAGCACGCACAAUUGGUGGUCUCUGUCGCUGCAAUGUACUUAACUGCAAUAGUUGAUGCCCAAUGUAUUCAGCCACACAAUGACGGCCCUCGAUAUACAUGCAUGUGCGCACGCACACACGGCACGGCGGUAAUGAUGAUCUCAUAGACCAUGACGUCUUGUUCGUGAUCGCAACAAGAGCAAUUGACGGUCGGACUGCGCCCUAACAAGGUGCGGGCGCUGCAAUGACAAGUAAGCUCGAUGGAGGUAAGCGGUGCCUACAUCAUCCCACUGCGCCCUACAGGCGCCGACUCCGCGUAGCUUAUCCGAGAGAAUAGCGUAUACGGCGCUCAUAAGUGACUUCAACUCGCCGACCAUUUAUCAAAUAAAGCGGAAGGAACCAACAUAUAUCUUCCAUUUGUUUUUCCUGGCUCAAGAUAUCGAUGUCGACGCGGCUUCGUACAAGAAACAAAAUUUAAGCAGCACGAUAGAGACUUCUCUGCCACAGCAGUCGUGUUUGAAGUUAUACAAGGCGUUAUGCGGCUAAGCAGCGCGUAGAAUAAUUCACCGUAGGCUAUACGCACAAGAGCGCCCAUCUUGCACUGGCACGACUGUUGGUGGCCGUCAGCUAACACCGUGCCACCUGCCUCGAUUUUUCGCCUUCUCCGCGGCAACACGGAGUCUUCAGUGCAUACGGACGCACCUUGUUUGUUACAGCCGAGCUCCUGGCCUCGUAGAAAAAAGAAAAGCUUGACGUGUGUGUAUAAAUAUAUUUUUUUCUUCAUACAGCGUCACUGUACCUGGAAACACUUAGUGCAUUGCAGUGAUACACGCGUAUACAAUUACUCGUCAUGGGCCGUGUGUACGUUGAGUGCAUUCCGUUACUAUCAAACUUCGCGCUUCUUCGCUGACAAAAUCGUUCUGCACAGUCAAUAUUGACCCUCAAAUUUGCGGAGCGAUGUCGCGAUUUUUAAUAUUCGUUAAUCCACCGGCGUGAAGACCUCUCGGUCACGGGAGCAAGAAACGCACGGAGCCUUGCGGCAUGAUGGAGCGUCUCCCACGGCGGGGGUGCACGUCGUACCAUACCCUCGGAGAUCUAGAUCGAACGCGUGUUCACUUUAAAAAAAAAGUCAAUAAACGAAGCUUCGGUGUCGCCGUCGUCUCUUCACUAUUCCAAUGGUCACAGCGCUUGCGAGUCACUAGACUUAAACUAUUCAAGACGCUGGCAUACUUAACGCGUCAAGCUCGUUGCGUCACAGCAGAUUAACGACGAAGCAACACUGCAGUAAAAGCGGACACACGACAGGCAAUCGCGUGGCCAGAUUCCUUUAAAAAACAACGAAAUGCCAUCUGUGGCAGUUGUAGUCAACCGACAAUUCCUUUAAGCUUACAUGCAGCAGCAGCAGAAGCAGCAGCAGAUAGGCCACCAACGUCAUGUGCACACGCA
rnacentral:lncRNA from 1 species